GAUGAACGCUAGCGGCAGGCCUAAUACAUGCAAGUCGGACGGGAUUCAGGAGCUUGCUUCUGAUGAGAGUGGCGCACGGGCGCGUAACACGUAUGUAACCUACCUUUAUCAGGGGGAUAGCCUCUCGAAAGAGAGAUUAAGCCCGCAUAAAAUCACAGCACAGCAUUGUGUAAUGAUCAAAUAUUUAUAGGAUAAAGAUGGGCAUGCGGAACAUUAGCUAGAUGGCGGGGUAACGGCCCACCAUGGCGACGAUGUUUAGGGGAUCUGAGAGGAUGGCCCCCCACACUGGUACUGAGACACGGACCAGACUCCUACGGGAGGCAGCAGUAAGGAAUAUUGGUCAAUGGGCGGAAGCCUGAACCAGCCAUGCCGCGUGCAGGAAGACGGCCCUACGGGUUGUAAACUGCUUUUAUACGGGAAUAAACCCAGAUACGUGUAUCUGGCUGAAUGUACUGUAAGAAUAAGGAUCGGCUAACUCCGUG
rnacentral:rRNA from 1 species